GCACUUUGCACUUUAAGCAAUGGGGGAUAUAUCGCUUUGAGUACGCCUUAUACUUUUCAAAACCUUGAUCCUAGUACAAGUUGGAUGCAAGAUCGGUCAUCAACACCAUACUUGUUUAGUAUAGAAUUCCCUAAGUGUUGGAUUGGUCAUUAGGGUAUGCUCCCUCUAUAUUCAUCUUCCAAUCUCCAACUCCCUAUCUUUAAUAGACAUGUCGGUUAGUCUUAUGCACACUUGAGUGGGGCAUUGAGACAUCCUUAGAGGUUGCUACAUGGUUAUAUGUGUCAUUCUUUCAUAGGUAGGCUAUUUUUGCCCAUAUCAUUGCCUAUCUAAAACUUCCUGACAGCAAGCACUGUUACCCACUUCAAAUCCAACAAGUUCUGCAUUAACUAUUCAACACAUCAAUGAUAGCACUCUAAACAUUCAAUUUAAUUUAAUGAAUUCAUCAAGUUGGCUUUUUCUUCUUUUCUUUUCCAAGGUUAUCAAUUACUUAGUAACAAAACUAUAAUGUUCUAGUUGUAGAGGUUAUGUUUUUCCCGCUCUCACAACCUAGGUCUGCUGCCCUAAGGCUAUGAAGCACCAACAAGUGUGCAAUGGAAUCAACAUUCUAAACACAUGCACAUGCUUGGCACACCUCCAACACACAUCAUACACACCAAACCAUGUCCAACAAAAAGAAAAGAACAUUUUGGACACAGUCUAGCACAACUUUAUACAUGUUGGACAUAUGAUAGACAUUUCAACUUUCAAGGAAUUGUUUUCUGCAACAAAAUUGUUGAGUGUGAAUGCACAUUAGUGAAAUUUUAAGAAAAAAAAUCUCCAUCAAAAUUAAGGAAAAGAUAAAAGAUUUUAUUAUGAAGUAAGAUGCUUGUCGAUGGAUAUUUUAAUUUUGGCAUUGAUAUCAAACAUUUUAUUAUAUAUUUGGGAAGAAAGUUUCUUUUUUACAACAGAUGAUAUUUAUUCUUUAAUAUUAUGG
rnacentral:misc_RNA from 1 species